rnacentral:rRNA from 1 species
UACGUAGGGGGCAAGCGUUGUCCGGAAUCAUUGGGCGUAAAUCGCGCGUAGGCGGUCCGGUAAGUCCGCUGUGAAAGUCGGGGGCUCAACCCUCGGAUGCCGGUGGAUACUGUCGGGCUUGAGUACGGAAGAGGCGAGUGGAAUUCCUGGUGUAGCGGUGAAAUGCGCAGAUAUCAGGAGGAACACCAAUUGCGAAGGCAGCUCGCUGGGACGUUACUGACGCUGAGACGCGAAAGCGUGGGGAGCAAACAGG